rnacentral:lncRNA from 1 species
CACAACAUCGUCGCUUUGCACUGCCUCCGUGAUCGGCCCACCGAUCACGGAGGCAGUGCAAAACCGGGUGAGGACCACAAAGCCUGCAAUGCCUCCAAUACUACAGGCAGUGUAACACCACGUUAAGUGCAGAAAGCUUUCGGAGGGGGAGGAUCAAUACGUCGACUGGGAGGAAAAAGAAGAAGAUGGCCUUC